rnacentral:rRNA from 1 species
AUUGAACGCUGGCGGCAGGCUUAACACAUGCAAGUCGAGCGGGGGAAGGUAGCUUGCUACCGGACCUAGCGGCGGACGGGUGAGUAAUGCUUAGGAAUCUGCCUAUUAGUGGGGGACAACAUCUCGAAAGGGAUGCUAAUACCGCAUACGUCCUACGGGAGAAAGCAGGGGAUCUUCGGACCUUGCGCUAAUAGAUGAGCCUAAGUCGGAAUAGCUAGUUGGUGGGGUGAAGGCCUACCAAGGCGACGAUCUGUAGCGGGUCUGAGAGGAUGAUCCGCCACACUGGGACUGAGACACGGCCCAGACUCCUACGGGAGGCAGCAGUGGGGAAUAUUGGACAAUGGGGGGAACCCUGAUCCAGCCAUGCCGCGUGUGUGAAGAAGGCCUUAUGGUUGUAAAGCACUUUAAGCGAGGAGGAGGCUACUCUAGUUAAUACCUAGGGAUAGUGGACGUUACUCGCAGAAUAAGCACCGGCUAACUCUGUGCCAGCCGCCGCGGUAA